GAUGAACGCUGGCGGCGUGCCUAAUACAUGCAAGUCGAGCGAACGGACGCGAAGCUUGCUUCUCUGAUGUUAGCGGCGGACGGGUGAGUAACACGUGUAUAACCUACCUAUAAUACUGGGAUAACUUCGGGAAACCGUAGCUAAUACCGGAUAAUCUUUUGAACCGCAUGGUUCAAAAGUGAAAGACGGUCUUGCUGGCACUUAUCGAUGCAUCCGCGCUUCAUUAGCUAGUUGUUCAGGUAACGGGUUACGAAGGCAACGAUGCAUAGCCGACCUGAGAGGGGGAUAGGCCACACUGGAACUGAGACACGGUCCAGAGUCCUACGGGAGGCAGCAGUAGGGAAUCUGCCGCAGUAGGCGAAAGCCUGACGGAGCAACGCCGCGUGAGUGAUGAAGGUCUUCGGAUCGUAAAACUGUGUUAUUAGGGAAGAACAUAUGUGUAAGUAACUGUGCACAUCGUGACGGUACCUAAUCAGAAAGCAACGGCUAACUACGUG
rnacentral:rRNA from 1 species